rnacentral:lncRNA from 1 species
ACAACCCUAUCCCUUUAAUUACCCAAACCCCCGAGACCCUAUUAGUUUCUUAGAGACACCGCCCAAACGCUCCCAUCCUCCUCUUUUCCUCUCCUGUAAAACCUAGCAGCCGCAUCCCAUAUCCUCUCCAACUCCGACCCUAACAUGGAAUCUCCCCGUGAUUUUCCUUUUAUAUAUGCUCUAUCUCUUUGUUACUGACAUGGUUAUGGUAUCAUCUAAUACUUGCCUAUUUUUGGUAAGUACCCGGUUUUGAAUCAAGUACGAUCGUCCCUAAAUCUUCAAAAAUCUUGACGGUGUUUCAUCUAUAUACAUUCAUAGAAAUGUUAUAUGGGUCCGAUUUACCAAGAUCUUCGAUCAAUUUUUGAUUUCGGUCAAAACUAGGGUUUACCUAAUUUUCCUCCUAGUUUGAUUCUAAAUCGAUUUUGCAUGUUAUUCUUUCCUUUAUUUUGUUUGAAUGAUUAUUUUUCCUUGUUUUGUUCGUUUAAUUUUGCUACUAUAUAAACCCUUCUCCAAUCCUACUAAAACAGACCUUAAUCACUAUUAUUACUUUCAUUCUCACUUAUUCUACUGUUCUAAAACUUGAGACCUCUGUUGGCUGAAAGUCAAGGCUAUCAGAAUUCGAUUGUUGCUCCUUUCUAAAUGUGAACAUUGCUGGGGUUCACUUGAAACCCUUGGGAACUCUGAUGCACUGAGAUUCUGGGAAUCCUUCUAUUCUUUCCUUAUUACUGCUAAUUGAGUUGUUGCUGGAACUUAAUUUUCUUAUUUUCUUAUUCAUUAAUUUGCAACUAGCGAGUACCUUGACAUUUGCAAUUUUAUUCUCUUUACUUGUGGUCAUGUUCUGAAUAUCCAUGUUGUUCGAAUUUUGUGAACCAAUAUGAUUUUAAUGUGGUGUUAUAUUUGUUUGAAAUCCCAUCCGCUUUGAAGUUAGUCUAUGGCCUUAUAUUUUCUAGCAUCUAAACUUGCCUAAAUCCUAAACUUGGACAUCUCACUAUGCGUAGCUUCUGACCAUCUUGAAUCUGCUUAGUCUACUAUGUUUAUGUAUACAUGAGUUUCCUAUGUUUGUUGCUGGCUCAUAUUCAAGCCUUGCUUUGAAUUCCUGUAAUAAGACUCUUAGGACACUAAUUCAUGCCUAGAAUUUGUUCGACUGUACUUCUCCAUGCUAAGUCAUUCAUGCACAACUUGCUACAUGCUCACUUUCUUAAAAUGAUCAUGUAUGUGUGAAUUCUAAAUUCUUCAGACAAGCAUGUUUCUCUGCCGCUUGUGAACCCUAACCCUUACUAUAGUUGCAUGCUUUACUAUCAUCUUAUUUUGUAGACCUAUGCCUGCUAGUGCUAGGUUUGCUUGAGUUUAAUGCCAAAGGAUAUCUUUGAUGUGCAUAAUUGAACCUGCUAUAUGUGAUCAAUUUGCAUUAAGUACUUUUCUUUCUGAUUAGUUGUGGUGCUGAGUUUUUGAUACUGUUAACCCUGAUUUUCUUUAAUAAGUUUUCCCUAUUAAAACUUCUGCUUGCCAUGAAUUGACCUACAAUUCUUAAUUAUAUCUUGCCUUACAUUCUUGUGUCUAGGUCUUAUUGGGAAUAUUGUUGUUGGUAUCUGUCCCAAGGGUAUUUUUUGAGAUGUCAUUAUUACUUGUUAAUCUUUUAGAAUCAAUUCAUUGAACUUGUUUGGUAACUUGAAAGUGCUAUAUAUGUGCUCAUUCUGUGUGAUUAUAAGGUCCUUGUGUAUGUGUACUCUUCUGCCUAUUAGAUAUCUCCCUUAGGAUAAUACUUCAAAAGUCUUUCUGCUGAUGAUUGUGAUAAUAGGAAUCCAUGUGUAUGUGUCUUUGCAUGAACUCUAAGUUGCCUAAAUAGCAUGUUUGAAUUCAUGUUCCUAUGUUUCUGUUGUUUGUUAAUGUGUAAGCAAAGAUAAUGUCUUCAUGUUUGGGACCUGGCUUAUCAGGCCGUGUGUAUUGUUGGUAUGAGCAUUGGUCAGGUAUGCUUUAAUCAUCCUUGUGAGUCUGGGAUGUUGGGCUUGUUGAGUGUGUGAAGGGCAAGGUUGGUGAAAACUUUUGAGUAGCUUGAGGCUGGGAUACUCAAAUUCAUACUGAGAAAUAUAAUUAGACCUUCAGGGGCUCUGAUUUCUUUUCAAAUUCCUAAAAUAAUUUUGGCUCAUUGGAGUGUUUGGAAUGGUUUGAACUUAGUUUUGAUUUGGGUUUGAAGUUUUUUAGCCGAUUAUACUAUACCUUUUUUGAGCUCUUGUGCGAUUGAACUCAUGAUCUAUGAUUGAACUAUCACAUUGCAUUGUUCCUAUAGGUAUGUCCGAAAUGCAUUGCCUUCAUAUUUCUCCCGUGUAUAUGUUCAUCUAUGGGUCCUAUCUUAUUCUUCACUAACGAUGACAUCUUCAUUAAUCGACUCCAUUCCGAGUAGUACUCAGAUUAACAAUUGUGGAACCAAUGCCAAUCCUAGCGUAUCCGUAGGAUGCACAUACAAAGGAUCGUUACAAUCCAAUUGAGGAUUGAUUGCAUGUAGUGUUCUAGAUGAAUUCGCUGUCACACUUUUGAGGAAAAUCACCAGUUGAGUUAAAUUUAGAAAAAGGGUUGGGGGAAAUUUUGACCUAGGAGAGAUAGAGGUGAACAACAACAACAACCCAGUAUAAUCCCAUAAAGUGGUGUCUGGGGAGAGUAAUAUGCAGACGAGCUUUACCCUUACCCGAAAGGGCAGAGAGGCUGUUUUCAAUCGACCCUUGGCUCGUGAAGGAAAGGAAAAAUAAAAACAAAAAUAAAAGAGCAUUAGUAAGUCCAGCAGAAAUAGCGUAAAUAAUUAUCUAAACAUAAGAAUCAUAAAUAAAAUAGCAUGCAACAUAAUAAUACAGUGACUAACAUAAAUAACUAUCAUAAGGAGACACAAUCUAUAACACAAAUCAUAUAUGGAUAGUAUUAUCAAGCCUCACUCAAUCCCCGGUGAGUAGUACUAAAACUCUAGGGGACCCUAUCGUACAACUC